rnacentral:rRNA from 1 species
AUUGAACGCUGGCGGCAGGCCUAACACAUGCAAGUCGAGCGGAGCGGCGGACGGGUGAGUAAUGCCUAGGUAUCUGACUGGUCGUUGGGGAUAACGUCCGGAAACGGGCGCUAAUACCGCAUACUAUCAGAUGAGCCUAGGUCGGAUUAGCUAGUGGGAGGGGUAAAGGCCUACCAAGGCGACGAUCCGUAACUGGUCUGAGAGGAUGAGCAGUCACACUGGAACUGAGACACGGUCCAGACUCCUACGGGAGGCAGCAGUAGGGAAUAUUGGACAAUGGGCGAAAGCCUGAUCCAGCAAUGCCGCGUGGGUGAAGAAGGUCUUCGGAUGGUAAAGCUCUUUAAGUAGGGAAGCGUUACCAACAGAAUAAGCACCGGCUAACUUCGUGCCAGCAGCCGCGGUAAUUC